AAGCAAUAAUGUAAUUUCAUGCAAAGAAAAUUGUAAGGAAGUGGAGAUAAGAAGGAAAUGAAAAUUAUCAUCUAAGAGGACCUACAACUUCCAACCAUCCCGGUGCAUCCAGAAGCUCUGCUCUGCUCCUUUCCCCUGGCUCCUGCUACAGCAGGGGCAUCACGCAAAGAGCACUAGCCUGGCUGUGGUGAGGGGAGCAGCUGGUGAGAGGAGGAAUUGGAGCUAUGGCAAGGCCACAAAACACAGAACAGGUGGAGGCAUGGUGUGUCAUACGUGGGAUGAGCAUCUAUGCUGCAGUAUGUGAUUCAUCAGAUACGCUCUUCUGCAUUUUUCCAAUAUCUAUCUCCUUCAACGUUUCUAGGCGGUAUCAUCAGGCUCCUUAGUGCAUUGCCUCAGGCCUCUCCCAAGUGUGGGAUUAAGACACCUGAUCUAUGGUGUCCACGUGGGAGCAAGCACCUGAGAGUCUAAGCUCUCCUUCCUGACAAAGGAGAUACAGACAACCCAGCCUAAGGACCAGAGCAUCUGCAAGGCAAUGGCAAAGGACAGUCAUCAGUUGCCUACAGAUAGCUCUGAGGGCCCUCUGAGAUGCCCGAAGGUUCCCCAGAUGGCCAGUGUCAAAGGAGGCCAGGAGGGAUUCUGCACUCCCUGGAACACGAGCUAGGGGCCAGGCUGGAGGCUCCACAGCACCUAGACAAGAGGAGGUGCCUAUGUUUAGGCACCUGAAUCCCAGGGAGGUGUCCAGGUGAGCUCUUCCUAAGGAACUCCUUAGCAUCUACUAACUAAAAAUAGAGUUUAGAUAUUUACAUGUGAAUGCCCA
rnacentral:lncRNA from 1 species